GAGAGGACCGGAGUGGACGCAUCACUGGUGUUCGGGUUGUCAUGCCAAUGGCACUGCCUGGUAGCUAAAUGCGGAAGAGAUAAGUGCUGAAAGCAUCUAAGCACGAAACUUGCCCCGAGAUGAGUUCUCCCUGACUCCUUGAGAGUCCUGAAGGAACGUUGAAGACGACGACGUUGAUAGGCCGGGUGUGUAAGCGCAGCGAUGCGUUGAGCUAACCGGUACUAAUGAACCGUGAGGCUUAACCUUACAACGCCGAAG
rnacentral:rRNA from 1 species